CCGCCUCUGGGAGUAAGCAGUCCCUUGCACCUGAUAUCUCUUCUUCACUUUUUCUGCUAAAACCUUCUAUUUUUAGUUGAUCAUUAAUGGAUGGAAUAUUU
rfam:Triticum urartu cultivar G1812 contig496715, whole genome shotgun sequence.